GUUGCCAUUGUCUCUCGUUGAGUAUUAUGCCUGUAACCUCUGUUGUCGACUGGAUGUCAAGAUAUGUUUCCAGGCCUUGUGUGUUAGGUCUGUUUGUUGUCUGCCACUGUUCCAUGGCCCAGGUCCGCCAUUGUUCCACUGUCUGCCUCUGCUCCACGGCCCAGGCCCACCACUGUUCUGUGAUUCUGAUCCUGUUCCCCUCCAUGGGCCUGGCCCUCCAUCUCUCCCCCUGUUCAGCCUUCGCUCUACCACCCUCCUGUGCUUGUUGGGUAUUGGGUUUUGUUUGGGUGUCUGGAGCCGCCCUUAGAGGGGGGAUAUGUAACGUGGGUUUUGUUCCUUAUUCAUUGUUUUCUUAUCUUUUAUUUUGAUAUUUUACUUACCUUGUCAUGGUUCCUACCUAUUCUUGUGAUUGUCUUAACCUCAUGUUAUCCUGCUAUUGGUUCUUUGGUUCAUGUGUCAUGUUCUCAUCGGUUGUCUUAGUCAUGUGUCCUGUCUCUCAUUGGUUGGUUCUUGUCAUGUGACCUGUAUUGUUUGCUAUAAAUAGCCCUCAUGUAUUGAUGUUGUAACCUACAGUUGGUGAGUCAAGUC